rnacentral:rRNA from 1 species
UACGAAGGGGGCUAGCGUUGCUCAGAAUCACUGGGCGUAAAGCGCACGUAGGCGGCUUUCUAAGUCAGGGGUGAAAUCCUGGAGCUCAACUCCAGAACUGCCUUUGAUACUGGGAAGCUCGAGUCCGGGAGAGGUGAGUGGAACUCCGAGUGUAGAGGUGAAAUUCGUAGAUAUUCGGAAGAACACCAGUGGCGAAGGCGGCUCACUGGCCCGGUACUGACGCUGAGGUGCGAAAGCGUGGGGAGCAAACAGG